AGGGAAUCUUGCGCAAUGGGCGAAAGCCUGACGCAGCGACGCCGCGUGAGCGAAGAAGGCCUUCGGGUCGUAAAGCUCUGUCCUCAGGGAAGAAGGAAGUGACGGUACCUGAGGAGGAAGCCCCGGCUAACUACGUGCCAGCAGCCGCGGUAAUACGUAGGGGGCGAGCGUUGUCCGGAAUUACUGGGCGUAAAGGGUGCGUAGGCGGCCCUUUAAGUCGGAUGUGAAAGCCCGCGGCUUAACCGCGGAAUGGCAUUCGAAACUGGAGGGCUUGAGUGUCGGAGAGGGUAGUGGAAUUCCCAGUGUAGCGGUGAAAUGCGUAGAUAUUGGGAGGAACACCAGUGGCGAAGGCGACUACCUGGACGAUAACUGACGCUGAGGCACGAAAGCUAGGGGAGCAAACA
rnacentral:rRNA from 1 species